UCAAAAUGUAAGCCAUGCUUUAUUGUCAUUAUGAGUGACGUUUGAAAAUUUGAAAGUUUUCGUUGAAACGUAUUUUUGGCCUCGAUUUUCCGAAACACUAAUGUCAGUGAGUGUUUUUCGCAGUGAGGAUAAUAAUUAUAAAAACCGAAAGUGAGGUUAGUUUCCUAAGGCCCGUUUUACACUUUUAUGUCAAUCGAAUGAAAAUUCCGUGUUCGCAAUUAUAAUUACCAUUAAAAAAAUCUGUCACCAACAACACUGACUUUUAGGGACAGAUGGCACCUCUUGUGACAAAAUAAAUAGAAUUAAAACAGACCACCCUGUACGAAAUGGUUUCAAGUGUUUGAUAACUUGUAAUUUUGGCGGCGUAAAAAUUAAAAAAUGUGUGGUUUUUAUUUGAAUUUACCUCUUAACUAAACCGAUAAAACAGGGUUCUUUAUGGGAAUUUAUUUACUUGUUGGUUGUUAAAGAACAGAGGGCGUCUCCUCUGACAAUCUCAACGUUCAAAUUUCCGUUUAAAGUGCCUUUUGUGACUUUUAAAUUAAUAC